GCCCCACUACCAUACCAUGCGGAGGUUCUGACCUUGACCUCUGACAUGACAUCUAUGGCUCAUUAAACGUGUUGACGUGGUUAAGCUCUUUGUGUCCGUCAGUGUGUGUGUGUAUGUGUGUGAGGGAGAGAGAGAGACAGAGCGAGAGAAAGAGAAGUCUUGGAGUGGAAGUGUAGGUGGAACCAGAUUACCUUACAGUUUUUCCCCUCGAAAUCAACGGAAAUCAACGGAGUACUCUAUUUAAAAAGGUCACGAUCUUCUACUAGCACCUUCGUGAGCAACAAUACUGAGAGCUUCCAAAGGCAGGUCAACAGAAACUGAGGCAUAAGCCAUCGGAGCAACUAGAGAUAAAAUAUUUUUAUCCACAGCAAGAGAACAGAGAAUUGACAAGAGCAGCAGUUCCCUUCCACAACCAGCAGAGAUCAGCAAUGC